rnacentral:rRNA from 1 species
GACUUGUGUGCGUUGCUGUUCAGCGGUCUGCAUUCAAAAGAGUGUUACGACAUGCGGCAGUGGCGCCGUAAAAUCUUCAACUGGAUCGUAACUGGACUUAAUUGCCUGGUUGCAGUCAUUCGGUUGAUCGUUUACUGUGAGAAAAUUAGAGUGUUCAAGGCAGGCAUUAUUGCAAUUGAAUAUGUUAGCAUGGAAUAAUAAGAUAAGGCUUUCGCGUUUAUUUUGUUGGUUUCUAGAUCGGAAGUAAUGAUUGAUAGGGACAGUUGGGGGUGCUAGUAUUCAGCGGCCAGAGGUGAAAUUCAUGGAUUCGCUGAAGACUAACUUAUGCGAAAGCAUU